AUUGAACGCUGGCGGCAGGCUUAACACAUGCAAGUCGAGCGAGCGGCGGACGGGUGAGUAAUGUCUGGGAAACUGCCUGAUGGAGGGGGAUAACUACUGGAAACGGUAGCUAAUACCGCAUACCAUCAGCUGUGCCCAGCUGGGGUUAGCUAGGAGGGGGGGUAAUGGAUCACCGAGGAGACGGUCCCUAGCUGGUCUGAGAGGAUGACCAGCCACCCUGGAACUGAGACACGGUCCAGACUCCUCCGUGAGGCAGCAGGGGGGAAUAUUGCACAAUGGGCGCAAGCCUGCUGCAGCCAUGCCGCGUGGGUGAAGAAGGCCUUCGGGUUGUAAAGCACUUUCAGCUAGGGGGCGUUACUCGCAGAAGAAGCACCGGCUAACUCCGUGCCAGCAGCCGCGGUAAUAC
rnacentral:rRNA from 1 species